GUGGUGGCGGGGGCGUGAGUCGGGGUGUGACGGAGGGUCGGAUCGUGAAUCGGAAUUACUGGGCGUAAAGCGUGUGGAGGCGGUUUGUUAAGCGAGAUGUGAAAGCCCUGGGCUCAACCUAGGAGUAGCAUUUCGAACUGGCGAACUAGAGUCUUGUAGAGGGGGGUAGAAUUCCAGGUGUAGCGGUGAAAUGCGUAGAGAGCUGGAGGAAUACCGGUGGCGAAGGCGGCCCCCUGGACAAAGACUGACGCUCAUGCACGAAAGCGUGGGGAGCAAACAGGAUUAGAUACCCUUGUAGUC
rnacentral:rRNA from 1 species